rnacentral:rRNA from 1 species
CCUACGGGGGGCAGCAGUGAGGAAUAUUGGUCAAUGGGCGCUAGCCUGAACCAGCCAAGUAGCGUGAAGGAUGACUGCCCUAUGGGUUGUAAACUUCUUUUAUAUGGGAAUAAAGUGCAGUAUGUGUACUGCUUUGCAUGUACCUUAUGAAUAAGGAUCGGCUAACUCCGUGCCAGCAGCCGCGGUAAUACGGAGGAUCCGAGCGUUAUCCGGCUUUAUUGGGUUUAAAGGGAGCGUAGGCGGGUUGUUAAGUCAGUUGUGAAAGUUUGCGGCUCAACCGUAAAAUUGCAGUUGAUACUGGCAGCCUUGAGUACAGUAGAGGUAGGCGGAAUUCGUGGUGUAGCGGUGAAAUGCUUAGAUAUCACGAAGAACUCCGAUUGCGAAGGCAGCCUGCUGGACUGUAACUGACGCUGAGGCUCGAAAGUGUGGGUAUCAAACAGGAUUAGAUACCCUAGUAGUC